rnacentral:rRNA from 1 species
GACGAACGCUGGCGGCGUGCCUAAUACAUGCAAGUCGAGCGGUUGAAGCCUUCGGGCGGAGAUAGCGGCGGACGGGUGAGUAACACGUAGGUAACCUGCCUAACAGACUGGGACAACUACCGGAAACGGUAGCUAAGACCGGAUACGACCAAUUGGGGGCAUCCUCGGAUGGUGAAAAGCGGAGCAAUCUGCUGCUGAUAGAUGGACCUGCGGCGCAUUAGCUAGUUGGUGCGGUAGAGGCUCACCAAGGCGACGAUGCGUAGCCGACCUGAGAGGGUGAACGGCCACACUGGGACUGAGACACGGCCCAGACUCCUACGGGAGGCAGCAGUAGGGAAUCUCCGGCAAUGGACGAAAGUCUGACCGAGCAACGCCGCGUGAGUGAAGAAGGUUUUCGGAUCGUAAAACUCUGUUGCCAGGGAAGAAUGGUUAGGCGAGUAACUGCGCUUAAUUUGACGGUACCUGAGAAGAAAGCCCCGGCUAACUACGUGCCAGCCGCCGCAGUAAGAC